AAAAAUAAAUAUUUUUUACCUUACUAUUUAUUAAUAAAAUAAUAAAACUUAAUUAUGCUAUCUAAAUAUUUCUUGCUAAUUACUAUAACUGUUCUUAUCCAAGGACAUUUUGGACAGAUACAUAAUUCUGGACCAAGAGAUUAUGCGGGGGCAAUACCAAAUCAACCUUAUGGAUUUCAAUGGACUAAUGCACCAAUAGAUGAAUUGAACUGCACAAAUUCAAAUAGACUUUAUGGAAUCCUAUGUAGAGAAA